CACGACAAAAACGUUAAAAUAAGGCGACGCAGUCAUGUCAAACCUUCAUCAGAUGUACUCACACGACAAAAACGUUAAAAUAAGGCGACGCAGUCAAACCUUCAUCAGGUGUACUCACACGACAAAAACGUUAAAAUAAGGCGACGCAGUCAUGUCAAACCUUCAUCAGGUGUACUCACACGACAAUAACGUUAAAAUAAGGCGACGCAGUCAUGUCAAACCUUCAUCAGGUGUACUCACACGACAAUAACGUUAAAAUAAGGCGACGCAGUCAAACCUUCAUCAGGUGUACUCACACGACAAAAACGUUAAAAUAAGGCGACGCAGUCAUGUCAAACCUUCAUCAGUUGUACUCACACGACAAAAACGUUAAAAUAAGGCGACACAGUCAAACCUUCAUCAGGUGUACUCACACGACAAAAACGUUAAAAUAAGGCGACGCAGUCAUGUCAAACCUUCAUCAGGUGUACUCACACGACAAAAACGUUAAAAUAAGGCGACACAGUCAAACCUUCAUCAGGUGUACUCACACGACAAAAACGUUAAAAUAAGGCGACACAGUGCUUUCAAACCUUCAGGUGUACUCACACGACAAUAAAGUUAAAAUAAGGCGACACAGUCAUGUCAAAACUUCAUCAGGUGUACUCACACGACAAUUAAGUUAAAAUAAGGCGACGCAGUCAUGUCAAACCUUCAUCAGGUGUACUCACACGACAAAAACGUUAAAAUAAGGCGACGCAGUCAUGUCAAACCUUCAUCAGGUGUACUCACACGACAAAAACGUUAAAAUAAGGCGACGCAGUCAAACCUUCAUCAGGGGUACUCACACGACAAUAAAGUUAAAAUAAGGCGGUGCAGUCAUGUCAAACCUUCAUCAGGUGUACUCACACGACAAUAACGUUAAAAUAAGGCGACGCAGUCAUGUCAAACCUUCAUCAGGUGUACUCACAUGACAAAAAACGUUAAAAUAAGGCGACGCAGUCAUGUCAAACCUUCAUCAGGUGUACUCACACGACAAACACGUUAAAAUGAUUAUGUCUACAUGUUAACAUAUGAUAACGUGUUGUCAACAGUCAUGUUUAACAUUCAUUACAUUACAAAAUGAUCACUGCCAAAUUUUAAGAAUAUAGGAUUUCGUCAGAAUUGAAUUACAAAUAUAAGAAACAAAAACAAAAGAACAUGCACGUAACAACGAAAAGCAUAUAAAAAUUGACAAAAUUACUGAUAACUGUAUGAAUAAGUCUUUCUUUUAUAAGAAACACAAUGACAUCAUAUUCAUUUUCAUUUUAACGUUAUAAAAAGCCAUAUAUAUUCAUCUUUGGUGUAUUUAAUCACAGCCUCAUUAUCCACUUCCAAACUCAUUCGUGUCUACAACCUAGGAAUAUACGAUGACACGUUGUGAUAUACCUGGUGGAUGAUAGAUUGGACUAGCGUGCUCAAAACCACUAAGGAAUCAUGUUUGCCAGUGUUCUCUUUGACAAAGAUUAAUACAAUCUGGUGAAAAAGGAGACUAAGAGAAUCUUCCCCGCCUCUGCCUCAGAUUAGCCAAUCAGAGCCAUGGGUUAGACAAUCAAGAUUAUCAUCCCGAGGGUUGGAUAAUAUCAUCCCGACGGUUGGACAAUAUCAUCCCGACGGUUGGACGAUAACGUCCCGAGGAUUGGACAAUAUCAUCCCGAGGGUUGGACAAUAUCAUCCCGAGGGUUGGACAAUAUCAUCCCGAGGGUUGGACAAUGUCAUCUCGAGGGUUGGUGAUUUGUCACGUCCUCGAGGUAGGAGCUUGGCAUACCAUAUAGCUAGUUGUCGACAGAGAUAUCACAUUAUACGUGAUGACAGUGAUAUCUUGAAUAAGUAAAAUGGGAUAAAAUCUGUGACUUGUGGGAGA